rnacentral:rRNA from 1 species
GUUGUAUAGUCAAGUAAUUAAGUGCAUGUGGUGGAUGCCUUGGCAGUCAGAGGCGAUGAAAGACGUGAUAGCCUGCGAAAAGCUCCGGGGAGGCGGCAAAUAUCCUUUGAUCCGGAGAUGUCUGAAUGGGGGAACCCACCUACUUUAAGGUAGGUAUUGCAACAUGAAUACAUAGUGUUGCAAGGCGAACGAGG